rnacentral:ncRNA from 1 species
AUAAAGACUAUGACAGGGAAUAUUAGAUGUGUUAAUUAUUUUUAAGAGAGUGGGAUUUGGUGAAAACCCAUAAAUAUUUCAUAUUAAACUCGCCCUUGAGUUGCAGGCUGAAUUAGUAGUAAGCUGAGCCGAUGUGAAUCGUUAUUGAAUUAAGUAAUAAAUUUGGGUGGUACCGCGAACAGAUUUCUCGCCUCAAGG